GAUCGCGGUGAUGACUCAGAAAAUUCAAGCUCAACAGACCGGAAUGCAGGUUUCCUCUCUUUUGAGGAAUUUGCGUGUCGACUAUCCCGCUGAACUGAGCGAUC